rnacentral:rRNA from 1 species
UGGGGAAUAUUGCACAAUGGGGGAAACCCUGAUGCAGCGACGCCGCGUGAAGGACGACGUAUUUCGGUAUGUAAACUUCUAUCAGCAGGGAAGAAAAGAUGACGGUACCUGACUAAGAAGCCCCGGCUAACUACGUGCCAGCAGCCGCGGUAAUACGUAGGGGGCAAGCGUUAUCCGGAUUUACUGGGUGUAAAGGGAGCGUAGGCGGCGCGGCAAGUCAGAAGUGAAAACCCAGGGCUUAACUCUGGGAUUGCUUUUGAAACUGUCGGGCUGGAUUGCCGGAGAGGUAAGUGGAAUUCCUAGUGUAGCGGUGAAAUGCGUAGAUAUUAGGAGGAACACCAGUGGCGAAGGCGGCUUACUGGACGGCUAAUGACGCUGAGGCUCGAAAGCGUGGGGAGCAAACA